GCUCUUGCCCGGUGGCGUUAAUAUCUCGCUGGGGCCUCCAUUAUGUUGUACCCAGGCAAGUUAGAGAAAACACCACACUUUGAGACGAAUUAAGAGUCCUUCGUUAG
rnacentral:pre_miRNA from 10 species